rnacentral:snRNA from 1 species
CGAACAGUCAGCUCAGAAC